GUCUGAAAGUGGUGUCCAAACACUCCUUGAACUCUGGCAGCUUGGAGCUGUGACCACCAGCCUUGGGUCCCAGAGCACAUCAUCGGUGUUGAAGGCAGAGGCAAAGAAGCUGGAGACGCUCAGCAUCUACAACAACACGUCCCAGGCUAGAAUACAGCUGCCAGUGUGAAGCACUUUUACAUUUCUCCAUUAGGAUGAUCUUAUUUCUUGGAUCUGAUCAUGUGAAACAGAGGAAGACAACAAACUGUCAGGCAGACCAAUCUCCACUCAGACAUUAGCAGUGGAAGUGUAAUUAGGGAAAUUAAAUGCUAAAUCUGCCUUUUGCUGUAUAUUGCAAGGAAGGAGAUCUUCAUCUAAAACACCAAAUGAUAUUCCUUCCCAUACACUGAAAACCUACCAGAAUGAUCUUACAGUCCCAUCUGACCUAGGGCUGUCAUCAUUCCUGCAUUAUACAAAGGGUGCUUUGCUUUGCAGCAGCUAUAAAAUAAGGA
ensembl:lncRNA